rnacentral:misc_RNA from 1 species
UUGAAUAAACUUGGUUGGGUUGUUGCUGGCUCCUUGGAGCAUGUGCACGCCUAGCACCAUUUUUAACCACCUGUGCACCUUUUGUAGACCUGGAUACCUCUCGAGGAAACUCGGUUUGAGGACUGCUGUGCGAAAGUCAGCUUUCCUUGCGUUUCCGGUCUAUGUUUUUACAUACCCCAUAUGAAUGUAUCAGAAUGUUAUUAACUGGCCUUUGUGCCUUUAAUCAAAUA